CACUAUUCUGUGCGCAGUGCAGACAAAUUUUGUCGUCAGCAAGUUUGGGGAAGACUUGACCAUGAUGUGCUGACAGAGCAACUUUGCAAGACAGCAAAGAAAUUGAUUUAUCCAAAAGGGUGACAACUCACAUAUUAAUAUAGUGAGUCACAGGAUUACUGUGCAGGAUAGGAAUAAUAAAGAAUGAGGCAGCUGAAGGGAAAAGCAAAGAAAGAAACCCGGAGGGACAAAGAGGAGAGGAAACAAACAUUCCACGAGGCCAGGAAUCAGGUGGUGACAAUUGUGCUACCAGUGCUCGGAGCUAUUGUCCUGCUCAUCACACUUUUUGUCUACGUGAACACCAGGCCAAAGGCUUGAGCCAGAAGGCCUUUUGCUUCUUGCCAUGCGUGAAGACCAUCACAUUUACCACAUAGUGUGGAAAUGCUGCUUUUUUUUGUGACUAGAGAGUAGAGACUAUAGGCUGGGGUUUUGUGAUUUGGGGAGCACACAAGAUAUUAAAGAGUCCAGUACUAUACUGUAAAUGCAGAGGGAACUUUCACAGGGGUUUUAUUUUUGCGAACUCUCAACUGCAAAUGUAUUACUAGUACAAAAUGUACUACAAAAUUUUACUAUAGAAAUCUGUACUACAGAAUUGUUUCAACAGCAAAUUCAAAACAUUGGUCAAAACAUUUUUCCCUCCUUCCAUGAAAUAUAACCAACACAAAAUUAAAAACAUCUACAGUGAUUUUACUAAUAGUCAGUAAUGUCAAGUACAGGAGUUACGUCUGUAAAAAAGGGACAAAAGUACAUGUAUCAAGAACAUGAGAUUUUUAAAGCAUCUUGAGAUUGACCACAAGAGGCAUUUUACCCAAACAAUCUUGCCAGGAAUAAACCCUAUAAACCAGUCAGUUCUAUUUUCAAGAGACAGUCAGUGCAGGCAACAAAAGCCUUAUUAGGCUAAAUUUACCAAGGCAGAGUUCAAACUACAAUAAGGUAUAACCAUUUCAUACACCAGAACUUUUUUUAUAUAUGAUACUUGGCUAGAUUUACUGCCAUUACAUGUUAACUGUGUCAUACAUGUAGCAUACUAGUACAUGUAAAUGCUGUUGUGCCAUGGAACAUAAAGGCAGGGGGCCAUUAUGAAAUAAACCUUAUUUUCUCAUCUUGUGAA